rnacentral:tRNA from 1 species
GGAGCAGUGGCCGAGUGGUCUAAGGCAGCGGUCUUGAAAACCGCCGGGCCAGUGAUGGUCCCGUGGGUUCGAAUCCCACCUGCUCCG